rnacentral:rRNA from 1 species
UACGUAGGGCGCAAGCGUUGUCCGGAAUUAUUGGGCGUAAAGAGCUCGUAGGCGGUUUGUCGCGUCUGCUGUGAAAACCUAAGGCUCAACCUUGGGCUUGCAGUGGGUACGGGCAGACUAGAGUGCGGUAGGGGUGACUGGAAUUCCUGGUGUAGCGGUGGAAUGCGCAGAUAUCAGGAGGAACACCGAUGGCGAAGGCAGGUCACUGGGCCGCAACUGACGCUGGAGGAGCGGAAAAGCCAUGGGGAGCGAACAGG